rnacentral:rRNA from 1 species
UACGUAGGGCGCAAGCGUUGUCCGGAAUUAUUGGGCGUAAAGAGCUCGUAGGCGGCUUGUCACGUCGGGGUGUGAAAGCCCGGGGCUUAACCCCGGGUCUGCAUUCGAUACGGGCAGGCUAGAGUGUGGUAGGGGAGAUCGGAAUUCCUGGUGUAGCGGUGAAAUGCGCAGAUAUCAGGAGGAACACCGGUGGCGAAGGCGGGUCUCUGGGCCGAUACUGACGCUGAGGAGCGAAAGCGUGGGGAGCGAACAGG